rnacentral:rRNA from 1 species
GAUGAACGCUGGCGGCGUGCCUAAUACAUGCAAGUCGAGCGAACAGACGAGGAGCUUGCUCCUCUGACGUUAGCGGCGGACGGGUGAGUAACACGUGGAUAACCUACCUAUAAGACUGGGAUAACUUCGGGAAACCGGAGCUAAUACCGGAUAAUAUAUUGAACCGCAUGGUUCAAUAGUGAAAGACGGUUUUGCUGUCACUUAUAGAUGGAUCCGCGCCGCAUUAGCUAGUUGGUAAGGUAACGGCUUACCAAGGCAACGAUGCGUAGCCGACCUGAGAGGGUGAUCGGCCACACCGGAACUGAGACACGGUCCAGACUCCUACGGGAGGCAGCAGUAGGGAAUCUUCCGCAAAGGGCGAAAGCCUGACGGAGCAACGCCGCGUGAGUGAUGAAGGUCUUCGGAUCGUAAAACUCUGUUAUUAGGGAAGAACAAAUGUGUAAGUAACUAUGCACGUCUUGACGGUACCUAAUCAGAAAGUCACGGCUAACUACGUG